rnacentral:ribozyme from 1 species
GCUUUGCUCUGGGGCUGAGGAUGCAACUGUUCGAUUGUGGGAUCUUGAAAGCAAAAAAGAGAGGGGAAGGGUGUCUCUUCCUGAUGCAGUCAACAGCGUUGCGUUUCACCCAAAAGAUGCUCAGUGCUUGUUCGCCUCAAGUGAGGAGAAGGUCUACCAACUAACCAUUGGUCAAAGCAAAAAAAAAAAAGGGCGGUCCAGAGGAGGAGAACGAACC